rnacentral:rRNA from 1 species
UCUAUUAGGUGUGAAAGGCUAAUCAAUUUUUAUGAUAUCUGGAUAAGAUUAAAUGUAUUUAGUACAGGCUUAAAGCUGAAGGACCUCCUGUUAAGGGGAGGUCCUAAAAGUAUAACUUUAAAAUAAUCUAUUUAGGAUAAUUCUGUAAUAAUUUAUUAAAAACGAAGAUUUUUUUUUCAGGUUUCUUAAAUUUACUCUAGAAAAUUUUAAAUUUACCAAAUUUUUCAUAAUGUUAAAAUAAGUAUUAUUAAUAAUUUAAAUAUAGGAACUCGGCAAAAAAUUUCUCAACUGUUUAUCAAAAACAUAGUUUUAUGAAGUAGUAUAAAAUGAAUUCUGCCCAAUGAUUUAUUUAAUGGCCGCAGUACUUUAACUGUGCUAAGGUAGCAUAAUAAUUUGGCUUUUAAUUAAGGUCUGGUAUGAAAGGAUUUUUGGGUAAUAACUGUCUUUAUUUAAUUUCUAAAAAUUUACUUAAAAGGUGAAAAUUCCUUUAAUUUUAAAAUAGACGAGAAGACCCUAGGAGUUUUUGUUUUGUUGGGGCGACAUUUUAGUAAAUAACCUAAAUAAAAAAUUUAACGGUUAUAUCAAUUAUAAAUAAACUACCCUAGGGAUAACAGCAUAAUUAUUGAUUUGUUUGUGACCUCGAUGUUGGACUAGG